UGCAAUGGCGGCUGUGUGCUGGACGCCUCCGGGCGAACCGAUUUGAUGGUGUCGGUUGACCAAGCCUGUACACAGCCGCCUCCCAU
rnacentral:antisense_RNA from 1 species